GAUGAAGAACGUAGCGAAAUGCGAUACGUAAUGUGAAUUGCAGAAUUCAGUGAAUCAUCGAAUCUUUGAACGCAUAUUGCGCUCUCUGGUAUUCCGGAGAGCAUGCUUGUUUGAGUAUCAGUAAACACCUCAACUUCCAUAUCUUUUUUGAAAUGGGAGUUGGACUUGAGUGAUCCCAACGCUUUUCCUCACCGAUAAGUGGCGGGUUACUUGAAAUGCAGGUGCAGCUGGACUUUUCUCUGAGCUAUAAGCAUAUCUAUUUAGUCUGCCUAAAAAACAGAUUAUUACCUUUGCUGCAGCUAACAUAAAGGAGAUUAGUUCUUGUGCUGACUGAUGCAGGAUUCACAAAGACAGGCUUCGGCCGACUUUGUAAACUCGAUCUCAAAUCAAGUAAGACUACCCGCUGAACUUAAGCAUAUCAAUAAGCGGAGGA
rnacentral:misc_RNA from 1 species